rfam:Triticum aestivum genome assembly, contig: Triticum_aestivum_CS42_TGACv1_scaffold_557722_7AL
AUAAUACUCCCUCCGUUCAGAAUUACUUGUCUCGGAUAUGGAUGUAUCUAGAACUAAAAGAUACAUCCAUAUCCAAGACAAGUAAUUCCGAACGGAGGGAGUAGUAA